rnacentral:lncRNA from 1 species
AAUUUCCCGCUUGUUUUGCACGAGGACAUGGAUGGAGAAACUUAGUGUCAGUUUUAACAGACCCUAGUUUCAUUAAAGCGACGCGAGUUUCAUUAAAACGACGCUAUGUGAAUUUCAAAAAGUGUGUCAGAAGUUUGCGUCAGUUUUAAGCGACGCUAGUUUCAUUAAAGUGACGUUAUGUGAAUUUCAAAAAGUGUGUCAGAAGUUUGCGUCGAUUUUAAGUGUUGCUAGUUUAAUUCUAGAGACGCUAUGUGAAUUUAAAAAGGUGUGUUAGAAGUUGCUGUCGGUUUAAACCAACGCAAACUAAGUACCCGUAUUUAAACCCUUCUCUUUCCCAUUUCAUCCGUGCUUUCAUUUCUCCCCCAAUUUCAGACUUUCUUCUUAUGCUUUCCCAUUUCAUCUAUGCGUCCCUUUCUUCCUCCUUUUUAGGUUUUCCUCUUCUCCUUCCCCAUUUGCUAUGGAUCACCAUUUUGAUGAUCAACAUUCUGAGGAACUCCACUUCGAAGAGGAAGAGCUCGAAGGUGGUUCAUUUUUAAAUUAUUAUGAUUAUUAAUUUUAGUUUCUGUUUUGUAUUGUAACUAGUUUUAUGCUUAAAUUGAAAAUUUAUUUUUGUUUCUUGGUUUUUAAUUGUUUUUUCUAUAUUUAUAAGGAUCAACUCAACAGAGAUAUGGACUCUCAAUUCCGAAUUGGAAAGAACAGCCUUGUUCGUUUGAUUCGUCUGGAAAAUGUUUGUAAUUCUAGUGCGUUUUCGAAACAUGUAGCGGCAGAGGUUAAAGAUUACAGAAAUAUUUCGAUGGUGGCAUACUGGAAUAAAGAAAAAACAUAAAGAAAUAUUUCGAGGUUAAAGAUUACAAAAAACGUUUCAUGAUUUAUUUUAUUAUACCUUGAAAUUUGUCUAAUGAAUUCUUUUAUUUUUCAGGAGCUUGCCGAAAAAAUAAGCAUAAUCGGCAGUUGAAAACUAUGAACCACACAACCGGUUCAAAAUCUUUUGCAAGAGUUCGGGAAGAAUGUAUGAGUUGUACAUUUUUAGGAAUUGUAGUUAAUUUUAAAUUUAAUAUAUAGUUGGUAGAAAUUUUAUUUUUAAUAUGAAGUUUGCUUAAAAUUGUUUGUUUUUUUCAUUGACAUAUGGUGGGAUUUAUUUUUAUAUAAUAAUUUUCAAUUAUUAUUAAUUAAAAACGGAAAUGAUUUUUUAUUAUUAUUAAUAUAUUUGGUGUCGCUUAUGAACGACAUCAUAAUAAUUAUUUUAUGUAUCCAUAUGUUACGUAAUGUCUGUCAAAACCGAUGGUAGUUUGGAUAUUUUAUAAUUAAAUUGGUAAUAAGCGUCGCUUUAAACCGACGUAAUGUUGAAGUUUGCGUCGCUUUAAACCGACGUCAGUGUCAGUAUCGCUUUUAACCGACUCUACGUACUGGCAGAUUAAGCGUACAAACCGACACUGAAACCCUUUCGCGACACCAACAUUAGUGUCACUAUUCCAAUCCAACAUUACAUUGUUUUAUGUCGGAUUUUUGCUAAAUUUUCGACAGAAAUUGGGUUUCUUGUCGGUUUUUGCUUCGCCACUGAUAAGGUAUAUUGUAGUAGUGCCAGGAAGGAUCCCUUUCCUACAAACAUGACAAAUGUCUUUGUGCUAGCAUGUUGGCUAAUCCUACGUGGCAAACUUAGCCACUCAGUUGUUGCCAUGUGUCAUCAAUUCAUUGGUCCAGCUGAUUUUAAAUUAUAUGAACACUGAACUGUAUUUCAAAAAUGCUACAAGCUCAUAUUAAUUCCUACUAUCUUCAAACAAGGACCUUUUUGAUAAAUUAUUGGGUCUCACAUAGUCGGGGCCAGAGUCCGCGCAGAAGUACUUGAAAUUUGGAUUGAGAGUGAUUUCUUUUGUGGGCAUGGCUGUGGUAAAGUGAUUUGGUCGGAAUGAAUAUUAGUUCAUUCUAAAUGAAAGCAUCAAUUGUUAAAACCAAAUUUGCACACUGUUGUGAAGGAUGGAGAUGCACAAACUUGUGUACUUGUAAAAUAAUAAACAAUCGUAAGCAGCCAAGGACCAAGGGGAGGGGGUGCUGGCCAAAGACUUUCCGACAAUCAAAUUAGUAAGCAAUAUUAUAAUACUCAAGCAGUGGAUAAGAGAAUAAGCACGUGACAAUUGUUUUACGCGAGAUGAACCCUAGAAUGGUGUAUUUACACCAGAGGAUGUCUAAGAGAAGAUAUUGCAUCCUCUUAGGAGUUGAAUUACUUGGGUCCUACACCAAUCCCUAGAUUGUAGGAACUCCAAGAAUAUAGGAAACCUAGUUGAUUUCAUACUGGAUCAGGUUUCCGUAUCUUGCAAAACAAGCAUAACCAAUCUCAGUGAAGUGGUCGAACUUCACCCACUGCUCUAGAACAGGAUGAUGGUGGCAUCGCUAAUCCGUCUAUGUAACUUUGUGAUGGAAGAUGUUGUGUCCAUGACCGAACUUCUAAAGUAAUAAUAUUUCGAUCUACCUUACUACAGCCUAAAAAGACUAUGAUCUCACACAUACGUAAAUGAGAAAUUAAAUUUGAACUAAUUAUUUCUAUCCAUAAUUUUUUUUGUAUGAUUUCCCUCAUCUGAAUUUUUUCUUGUUCUUGGGUAAACUUACAUGUUAAUGUUGCUAUCCUAUUCAUAACUUCUUGACGACAUGCAUCCUUUUCAAUGCAUGACUCAAUGGUGAGUCAAUUGGCAUCCUAUGGAUGAUGGAGCUCUAUCAUGCAAGAAAAAGUUGUGGCAGCUUGUCGUUUCUUUUCUUGUUACGUGCAUGCAUAGAGUUUAUUCUCUGUUCUCUCAGACGACUCUGAUAACCAUUCCCAAGGCCUACACGCACUUGGACAGUUGGGCUCAAUACUCAAGGAGUAUCUUUGUCAAGAGACUGCUACUAUCACAGGAGGGUAAUUAUACAUAAUAUUUGCCACCUUUUAUAUAUGAAUUAUGAACAGGCUUCCACACAAAAAGGAGAAAACUAAACAAAUUUUUAUAAGAGCUAUAGCAUUGUCUUGUUCUCAGUAGCAACUAGCAAUACAUUACUUCCUAAACCAGGUUUGGGGGAUAGGCCUCUAGGUAGAAUAUUCAUUGGUGUACCUGGGGAUGAUAAUUUUGAAAUACUAAAAGCCUGUUUGAUAUUCUAUUUGAAUUUUUUUUAAUCAUUUCUCAAAACAUUUCUUAACAACAUUUCUUGAAAAUAAUUUUAUUUAAGACUCAAAAACUUGAUUGGUUUGCGAUUUAAAAUUUAAAUCUUAUGACUUAAACUAGACAAAAAGAUCAAAAAAGAAAGGGUCGCAUGAGAGGGAGAAAGAGGAGAGAGGAGGAAAGAAGAUAAGAGAUGAUUGAAGGAAAGAGAAAGAAGAGAGAUGAUUGGAGGAGAUAGAGAAGAAGAUGAGUGAAAGAAAGAACCGAGGAAAUGAAGAGAACGGAUUAGAAAAGAGACGAAAAAGUUAAAAAAAAUAGGAGAGAGAAAUACGAAAAGAGAAAGAGAUAGAUUUGGAGUGAUAGGGGAGGAGGGAGAGAAAAGAAAGGAGUGAGUUUAAGUUUAAAAACUCACUUUUUAUGUUGUUAGAGAAUAUACUAUAUUUUUUAGUUAGUCUUGAGUUCAGUUUUUUAAAAUAGUCCUACCAAUCAAGUUUUUAAGAUCUAAAACUUAAAAAUUAUUUUUAAAUUUAAAAAGUUGGAUUCAAAUGAAGUACCAAAUAGAUCCUAAACAACUACAGUCUACAGACCAAUCAUCCUAAUGAGUAAACUAUAAAGAUCUGUUUAGCUUUAUUUAUCAUUGGUAUUGGUAAUAGCAAUGUGGUAUAAUACAAUCAAACUAAAAGCAAAGGCCGUUGUGGAUCCACGUAAGCUUGAUCUCGAGAUAGCCUAUAUGACUUGUUAGAUUGGUACUUUAUCUCGAGAAAGUCCAUGUACAGAAACAAUCAACCUAGCUUAAUAAAUUGUACCAUGAAUGAGAUGGUGAAUGGUGUUGAUACCUCAGAUGAUUAGAGUUGGGGAGAUGAAAAGGAAAGAUGCAGUUGAUGAUACAUGAGAGGAAAAAAAAGGACUUGGAUUGUCUGCCCUCCCGUUUCAGUGCCCUCUCCGUGCCCUCCUGUUUUGUGUGGUCACGGUUAAGCCACGUCAACAUUUUAUAUUGUUUUUUUAUAAAAAUAAUAAAACAA